UGCUCAUGACUUUUCAAUAGCCGCAGACUUUUCUGUGCUAAGGUAGCAUAAUCACUUGCCUUUUAAUUCAAGGAUAGAAUGAACGGAAGUACGAAUCUUAGUUUGUUUCAACAAUUUUUGUUAAAAUUUACCUUAAAGUAAAAACUCUUUUCUAAAAAAGAAAGACGACAAGACCCUGAUGAACUUUACUUUAGUUAAGCUGGGGUGGCUCAUAUAAAAAUAUCUUAUAAACCCACACUUAAUUAUCUUAAUAAAAUUAAUCAAGUUACCACAGGGAUAACAGCAUAAUUUUAUUUUUAAGCUCAUAUUAGUAAUAAAGAUUAUGACCUCGAUGUUGAAUUAAGAAAUCUAAAAACUGUAAUAAGCCUAUAAGAAAGUCUGUUCGACUUUUAAACUCUUACA
rnacentral:rRNA from 1 species